CUUUCUGCAAGGUGCUGCAUGGUUGUCGUCAGCUCGUGCCGUGAGGUGUCGGGUUAAGUCCCAUAACGAGCGCAACCCUUAUCGUUAGUUGCCAUCUGGUAAUGCAGGGGACUCUAGCGAAACUGCCACCGUAAGGUGAGAGGAAGUGGGAUGACGUCAAAUCAGCACGGCCCUUAUGUCCAGGGCUACACACGUGUUACAAUGGUCGGUACAGAGGGCAGCUACCUGGUGACAGGAUGCUAAUCUCGAAAACCGGUCUCAGUUCGGAUCGAAGUCUGCAACUCGACUUCGUGAAGCUGGAUUCGCUAGUAAUCGCGCAUCAGCUAUGGCGCGGUGAAUACGUUCCCGGGCCUU
rnacentral:rRNA from 1 species